UCAAGCAGAUUACAUCUGCGAGUCCUAUUUUCAGGUCGCCGAGCAACCACAGCAAGUUCUUGGACAUUUGGCGCAAUUCUACUCCCGACUGAUACAGGCACACGUUUAACCGACUGCUUUGAACGAGCGGAUAAAUAAUUGCAGCUCACUGAAACCCCACAAUGACCUUUGAUCCGCACCAAGGGAUGCCGGAGAGCAUGUUGAGAUACCGGCUAAAACUGUUGCAAAACAAUGGAUACCACCUCUACUACCCUUAUGGCCGGAAGCUCCCCACACCGUCGGAAUACUUAACCGGAACGCUAAGGGAGCCCUUGUACGAUGGAUGGACGUUCAGGGUGUUUUUCUGCGC
rnacentral:lncRNA from 1 species